rnacentral:misc_RNA from 1 species
UAAGGGAACCCCAGUUAGGGAGGGAGGUGAUGGAUGGAGGUGAUAUGAGGGAACCCCAGUUGAGUAGGAAGGUGAUGGGUAGAGAUCAACAUUUUAGUGAUAGAGGUGCCAUACGGGAACGCCAGUUGAGCAGGGAGGUGAUGGAUAGAGAUCAGCAUUUUAGUGAUCGAGGUGUUAUAAGGGAACCCCAGUUGAGGAGCGGUGGGUUAAUGGUGAGAGAUGAAG